rnacentral:rRNA from 1 species
GACAGAGGUGGCAAGCGUUGUUCGGAUUUAUUGGGUGUAAAGGGCAGGUAGGUUGUUGUGCAAGUCUGGUGUGAAAGCCCACGGCUCAACCGUGGAAUUGCAUUGGAAACUGCAUGACUUGAGUACCGGAGAGGUGAAGGGAAUUCUCGGUGUAAGGGUGAAAUCUGUAGAUAUCGAGAGGAACACCAGUGGCGAAGGCGCUUCACUGGCCGGUUACUGACACUGAGCUGCGAAAGCAAGGGGAGCAAACAGG